AAUGAACGAGUGUUGAGUAAUAAUGAUAAGGUCCAUCAAUGCUACUAUCGAAAGAGGAAGAGAGGAGAAGUCAACGUGGUCAAUGCUGAGAUACAGAAUUCGUCACAGGUGGCAAGUGGUGACGUGGCAAGUGGCUAAAGGGAAGGAGCGAAGCCUUGGGUCGUAUCAGAGGGUUUCAACUUCUCUGAGUCAAUAAAAGGAGCCGUUGCUCAUCUCUUUCAUGGAUGUUUUUUUUAUGUGUUGUGUGUGUUGCUGAGCCUGCGUGCUAGCUGGGAAUCGAUCGUCAUGAGAUCGUUCCUUUAGAUUCGUUUUGUAAUUCUCUGUUACAGAAACGAUCGUUGUUUUUUUUUCUCUGUUCACGAUUUGUGAUUAGAGUAAUAAAUUGAUUUGGUUGAUUCUCAAUUUUCUGGGUUGUUGUGUUGAGAUAGAUCUAAACUCUAUCAUUGGUGCGGUGAAACUGGUUCGUUACGUGUGUUGAUCAUGGAUCGCGAUGGAUCUGAUGUGUUUGAAGAAGAUACGGGUUCUUCUGAUGCAAUAUAUGUGCAGAUGAGGAAUUUGCGUUUGGGUUUUCAGGGUUUGUGUGAAGCGAAGGUGGAGACGGAGUCUAAGCUUGUGUCGUUGGAAGAGUUGCUCAAAUCGGUGGUGAAAACGUUGGAUCGUUUGGAGAUUCACGCUGGAAAAAAAGUUGAUAAAGGUGAGCCUUCCCGACAGUCGUUUUCGGGUCAGAUUCUUCCCGAUCUACACUCGUCAGAAACUCGAUCUUCGGGGUUACCUCUGGAAACUCGCGAUAAAUUGUUAAAAAAAAUUAAGAUGCCUGUGUUUACUGGAUCGCAGCCGUAUGCUUGGAUUUCACAGGUGGAGCGUUUUUUUCGGGUGGGUCGCUUUAGCGAUGCGGCUAAGUUGGAUUUGGUUUCCUUAAGUUUGGAAGGGGAUGUGUUGAAAUGGUUUAACUGGGAGGUUUCGCGUCGUGAUUUUGGGUCGUGGGAGGAGUUUAAGAACCGUCUGUUGAUUCAUUUUGGUGGUACUAUUGAUGAUGAACCGGGGAAUAGACUAUUUGCCAUUAAACAGGUGGGAUCAGUGGCUGCAUACAUCACUGAGUUUCAGGAUUUAUCUUCUCAGGUGAUAGGGUUGGAUGAUACACACUUGGAGAAAAUUUUUUAUAAUGGUCUUAAGCAUGAGAUGAAGGAGGUUAUCAAAAUGAAAGAGCCUAAGGGACUGCCAAAUCACAUUACCGCUGUGUUGAAAAUGGAAUCAAGCUCUUUUUGCAAACUGGUUAGUGAAACUGGUGAAGGAACGAAGCAACAAAGUCAGCCUAUUCCUCCACCUGCACGGCCAGUGUUCACUUCCCAUGCUCCUAAACCAGUAGGGAUUCCUCCAAGUCCUUCUAUUGGGAAGUCUCCAGAGAGCAGUCCAAAGCCUCUGGGUCGUCCUCGUAUUCGUCACAAUGAUGCAGAACUUGACGCCAUGAGGAGUAAAGGAAUCUGUUUCAAAUGCAAGGGAAAGUACUUCCGUGGCCAUGAAUGUCCAAUGAAAGAGUUGAGAGUUUUAACAGUGGUGAAUGGGUAUGAACUUGAGGUGUUAGAUGAAAAUAUGAUUGAAUGUGUGGAAGAAGAGCAACCUUUGGUGGCUGCAGUGAAACCUGAGUUGAGGACCUUAUCUUUCAACUCUUAUGUAGGGUUGCAUUCACCAAAAACAACUAAAAUGGUAGGUUUUAUGGGCAAGACCAGAGUGAUUGUGAUGAUUGAUUGUGGGGCAUCGCAUAACUUUAUCACUCCAGCAGUGGCAUUAAAAUUAAAACUUACCAUUCAACAAGAUUCAGGUCUUGAAGUGCUGCUUGGUAAUGGUGUCACUGUUCAAGGAACAGGAACCUGUCGUGACGUUCAUUUCCGGUUGUCUGGUGUUGAGUUCCUCCAGGAUUUCAUCACACUGGAGUUGGGGAGUGUUGAUGUCAUCCUUGGGGUCCAAUGGCUGGAAACCCUGGGGAAAUGUGUGGUGGAUUGGAAGUUACAGGAAUGGUCUUUCUUAUAUGGAGGGCAGCCAGUGCUAUUAUAUGGAGAUGCUACCCUUCAUGAUUCACCAUUGUCCUUGAAAACAUUGUGUGCACCUCCCUCUGUUGGACGUUCAAGGGCUCAAUUAGCUGUGCUGAAGAGUAGUGAGCCUCCAGCUAUUGUUCCUCUUGUUCCCUCAGCGGUAGCAGAGUUGUUGCACCGUUAUUCUCAGGUUUUUGCACUGCCUUCUGGAUUACCUCCUUUCCGAGGCCAGGAUCACGCUAUCAACCUCUUACCAGGUGUCUCCGCUAUCUCUGUAAGGCCAUAUCGCUAUCCACAUGCCCGUAAGGAGACUAUGGAGAAUUUAGUGGCGGAGAUGCUGACUUCAGGAAUCAUUAGACCAAGUACAAGUCCUUUUUCUAGUCCUGUUUUGCUAGUUAAAAAGAAGGACGCUUCCUGGAGGUUUUGUGUUGAUUAUAGAGCCCUAAAUAAGGUGACUAUUCCAGACAAAUUUCCCAUUCCGGUGAUUGAUCAGUUGCUAGAUGAACUACAUGGGUCUACCAUCUAUUCUAAGCUGGAUUUACGAUCAGGCUACCAUCAAAUAAGAAUGAAACCCGAGGAUGUGGCUAAGACUGCAUUCCGGACUCUGGAGGGGCACUAUGAGUUCCUCGUAAUGCCUUUUGGCCUUACUAACGCCCCGGCUACCUUUCAGGCUCUCAUGAACAAGAUAUUCAAACCUUACUUGCGCAAAUUUGUGCUUGUAUUUUUUGAUGAUAUCUUGGUUUUUAGUGACGAUGUUGCUUCUCAUGUGGAGCAUUUACAGUUGGUGCUGCAGUUGUUGGAUGAGCAUCAGUUGUUUGCCAACAUGAAGAAGUGUUCAUUUGGAGUGUCACAGGUUGAAUACUUGGGUCAUAUUAUCUCUGCUAAGGGAGUGGCUACAGAUGUUACGAAGACUGAUGCAAUGCGUCUCUGGCCAACUCCUGUUACUGUCAAGCAACUGCGGGGGUUCUUAGGCCUAACUGGUUAUUAUCGCAGGUUUGUUCAAGGUUAUGGCAUGGUGGCCAAACCAUUGACAGAUUUGUUGCGCAAAGAUCAGUUUGAAUGGUCCAAUCAAGCUCAGCAAGCUUUUGACAAACUGAAGAUGGCGAUGAUUUCAGCUCCUGUCCUUGGCUUGCCUGACUUUAGUAAACAAUUUGUGGUGGAGACAGACGCGUCCGGAGUGGGAGUAGGCGCAGUGCUGAUGCAAGGUCAUAGACCUUUGGCCUACUUUAGCCACGGGUUAACACCAAGGGAGCAACUGAAACCGGCGUAUGAGAGAGAGUUAAUGGCCAUAGUGCUGGCAGUUCUUAAGUGGAAGCAUUACUUAAUUGGCCGUAAGUUUGCAGUUCAUACUGAUCACCGAAGUUUGAAGUAUUUGUUGGAGCAAAAGGAGGUCAGUCUUGAGUAUCAACGUUGGUUAACUAAGCUAAUGGGGUUUGACAUGGAGAUUUACUAUAAACCGGGUGUGGAAAACAAAGCGGCUGAUGGGUUAUCAAGAGUUCAACAACCAGGGAUCAGUGUGUCAUCUGCGGUGUUGUUAGCAUUGACAGUACCAGUGUCCCUACAGCUACAGGAUGUGUACAAGGAAAUUGAGAGGGACUCUCAUAUUCAAGCUGUCGUACAACAAGUGUUAGUGAAACCAGAAAAACAGGGUCAUUAUCAGGUUCAUGAUGCAAAAUUAUGGUAUAAGAAGAGGUUGGUUAUUCCAAAGGAUUCUCCAUUCAUCAAGUUACUUUUACAAGAGUUCCAUGACAGUAAGUUGGGUGGUCAUGGAGGAGUUCUCAAGACAAAGAAAAGAAUACAGGAGAGUUUCCAUUGGGAAGGCAUGCACAAAGAUAUUCAAAAGUAUGUGGCAGAGUGCUCUAUAUGUCAGACACAUAAAACUUCAACUCUUUCUCCUGCGGGUUUGUUGCAGCCUCUACCAAUUCCAACACGGAUAUGGGAAGAUUUGUCACUGGAUUUCAUUGAGGGACUUCCAAAAUCGGGUGGCGUGAAUGCUAUCUUGGUGGUGGUUGAUAGAUUCAGUAAGUAUGCUCAUUUCCUUGGUCUGUGUCAUCCUUUCACAGCCUUGGAUGUAGCUACCAAGUUCUGUUGUGAGAUCAUUCGGCUUCAUGGGGUUCCUAAAACACUGGUUUCAGAUCGGGACAGAGUGUUCUUGAGUUCAGUAUGGAAGGAGACAUUCCGUUUGGCGGGUACACAGCUCAACUUUAGCACCGCAUACCAUCCACAAUCUGAUGGCCAAACUGAAGUGUUGAAUCGUUGUUUGGAAUCUUAUCUACGGUGUUUUGCUUCUAGUCAUCCGAGAACCUGGUUUAAGUAUUUGCCUUGGGCUGAGUUUUCAUAUAACACGUCCUUUCACACUGCUUUGAAAUCAACUCCCUUUCAAGUGGUUUACGGGCGUGAACCUCCGCAGCUCCUACGUUUUGAACCAGGCUCCACCAACAAUGUUACCUUGGCAGCUCAGCUACAAGAGCGGGACGAAAUGCUGGCCAGAAUCAGAGUUAAUUUAGCUCGGGCACAACAGUUGAUGAAGAAAAGUGCUGAUCUGAAGCGCCGGGAGGUGGAAUUCGCAGUAGGUGACUGGGUUUUUCUGAAAUUACAACCAUAUCGUCAGCAAUCAGUCUCGCGCCGUGUUUGUCAGAAGUUAGCAGCGAAGUUUUUUGGUCCUUUUGAGAUUGGGGAACGCAUCGGCGCAGUCGCCUAUCGUUUGAAACUACCAGUGGAAGCUUCAAUCCAUCCGGUGUUUCACGUGUCGCAAUUGAAGGCAGUUCUGGGUCCACACCAUCAAGUGCAAACAGAGUUACCUGUCCUCUCCGACACAGAGGAAUCAGUUUUGCUACCGGCGGCGAUUUUGGAAGUGCAGAGUAACGCGACGGGUAGCCGUGAAUUUCUGAUUCAGUGGACGGGUUUUCCGGAGGUUGCGAAUUCGUGGAUGUCGUCAAAAGAUUUUGUGCAGCAGUAUCCCGAUUUUAAGCUUGAGGACAAGCUUAUUUUUCCGGCGGGGUGUAUUGAUAAGGUCCAUCAAUGCUACUAUCGAAAGAGGAAGAGAGGAGAAGUCAACGUGGUCAAUGCUGAGAUACAGAAUUCGUCACAGGUGGCAAGUGGUGACGUGGCAAGUGGCUAAAGGGAAGGAGCGAAGCCUUGGGUCGUAUCAGAGGGUUUCAACUUCUCUGAGUCAAUAAAAGGAGCCGUUGCUCAUCUCUUUCAUGGAUGUUUUUUUUAUGUGUUGUGUGUGUUGCUGAGCCUGCGUGCUAGCUGGGAAUCGAUCGUCAUGAGAUCGUUCCUUUAGAUUCGUUUUGUAAUUCUCUGUUACAGAAACGAUCGUUGUUUUUUUUUCUCUGUUCACGAUUUGUGAUUAGAGUAAUAAAUUGAUUUGGUUGAUUCUCAAUUUUCUGG
rnacentral:lncRNA from 1 species